UCCAGGCCCUACGGGGUGCAGCAGGCGCGAAACUCCGCAAUGCGGGAAACCGUGACGGGGCCACCCCGAGUGCCGCCCGAAGAGGGCGGCUUUUGCCCGGUGCAAAAAGCCGGGCGAAUAAGCGGGGGGCAAGUCUGGUGUCAGCAGCCG
rnacentral:rRNA from 1 species